rnacentral:rRNA from 1 species
UACGAAGGGGGCUAGCGUUGCUCGGAAUCACUGGGCGUAAAGCGCACGUAGGCGGACUCUUAAGUCGGUGGUGAAAUCCUGGAGCUCAACUCCAGAACUGCCUUUGAUACUGAGGAGCUUGAGUCCGGGAGAGGUGAGUGGAACUGCGAGUGUAGAGGUGAAAUUCGUAGAUAUUCGCAAGAACACCAGUGGCGAAGGCGGCUCACUGGCCCGGUACUGACGCUGAGGUGCGAAAGCGUGGGGAGCAAACAGG